CGACCGUCCACAGUGGCUCACUGUCAAGUCACGUUCACAGUGCUACGUCGACAAGAUAAGAGAAGAAUUGGAGAGCAGAUCAUGUACUAUUAGAACAAGGUGUGCUGUGGAAUCAGUUUUUAGUACUGAUGCAGGAUGCUGUGUGGU